GACGAACGCUGGCGGCGCGCUUAAACACAUGCAAGUCGAGCGACGAAAGGUCCUUCGGGACCCUGAAAGCGGCGAACGGGUGAGUAACACGUGGGUAACCAACCCUCGGUUCCGGGAUAGCCCGAGGAAACUCGGAUUAAUACCGGAUGGCCUCUAGAGCUCACGGGCUCGAGAGGAAAGGUAGCUUCGGCCUCCGACCGAGGACGGGCCCGCGG
rnacentral:rRNA from 1 species